UACGGAGGGUGCAAGCGUUGUUCGGAAUCACUGGGCGUAAAGCGCGUGUAGGCGGUCCGCUAAGUCUGGUGUGAAAGCCCGGGGCUCACCCCCGGAAGUGCACUGGAAACUGACGGACUCGAGUCCCGGAGAGGAGAGUAGAAUUCCUGGUGUAGCGGUGAAAUGCGUAGAUAUCAGGAGGAAUACCGGUGGCGAAGGCGGCUCUCUGGACGGUGACUGACGCUGAGACGCGAAAGCGUGGGGAGCAAACAGG
rnacentral:rRNA from 1 species